AGCUGGUAACCAUGGCAAGCUCCUCAGGGAGGCUUCAGGCUGGAGCCUCCUCAGCCCCAGACUCCUGCGUGGCCGGCCGCUUUCCUCUAGGAUGGAAGAAGGGAGAGGCUGGAUGUGGCAGGAAUGGGCUUCAGAGGCCAAGGCCAAGAAGUCAUAGUAACCCCAGCAAUCAUGAGCGCUUCAACACUAACACAUCUCACCCUCACAAUAACCAUCAUCACCCCCAUUUUAUAGGUGGGCAGACUGGGGCCAGGGAGCAUGAGGGCACCGUCAAGGUCACACACCAAGGAAGCAGUUGACUCUGGGGCUGAGGUGCUUAAGCACUCUGGCACAGUCCUUCUUUCCCCAGCCACUGCUUUUGGUUGUUUGAAUGUCUCUUAGAUCUCAGUCCCUGCUUACAUUCCCCUAGCGUUGGGGAAAUCACUCCUCUCCGGACAGCCUGUUAUCUCUCUAACAAUUAGACACAGUUGCCAAAUGAUUGAUCAGGCCCUGUGACUCCUCAGAAAGGUUAUUUUGGCACUGAGUGCCCUCUGUGAUCUGGCUGCUAACUCUCUUCUGCGAACUGAUGGCUCACGGCUCGCCACCGCAGCAGGCUGCCUGGGGUCUCCUUGCUGCUCAGUGUCCCGCUCUGCCCCGGGUCUUUCUUAUUCAUUCCCAUCCUGCUUCAAUUACCAGCCCUGUCUCCGUUCCUAUCAUGGAAUAUCAAAGCUGGAAAUCCAUGACUCCUCAUUUUCCUGAUGGAGAGAGGCCCAGAGAGGGGGCACAUUUCUCCAGUGCACAGGGUGAGUUGACAGCGUGGGUCCCAAAUCUUCUGCCAAUAAAAUAAUAAAUAGUACUGAGCCUAGCUAAUUUUCGUCAAGUGCUUGAUAACCACCAUGCUAAGUGUCUCACGAAUGUAAUCGAUUUACUUCUCACAUAGCCCUGUGAGGCAGACUAUUUCUCUUGCCAUGUUGCCAUGGAGACGAAGCACAGAGAGGUGACUUGCCCAAGAUCACACAAGCAUCUGACGUCAGAGCCAGGCUCCGAGCCAGGGGCUCCCCGAACCGUGCACCCGCUGUCCAUUCCACGUGGCCCACUGUGGGUGAUUGAGCAGACAGAGGAUGACAAGAGGAGCCAGCCUGCCAGGGACAGGUGUGUCUUUUUCUAUCCCACCUGCAAACUCUUCACUCUUUCCCUGGGCAAUUUCACUGAUGCUGAUGGCUUCCACUACCAUCAAUACUAUGAUGGCUCCCAAGCUUAGUAUCCUCAGUCCUAACCUUUCCUCUGAAGUUCAGGGAGAAACAUACAGCUGCCCUCUCAUGCCUCCACUUAGAUGCCUCCAAAAAACCUCAAACUCAACAUGUCCAAAGCUAAGUGCAUGUUCCUCUUCCCUAAAACUGACUCUUCUCUGGGGUUUUCCAUCUUGGUGAAUGACACCCCCAUCUGUCAAGUGUUUGAGGCCAGAUGGCUGGAAGUCAGGCAUGGCAUCUCCACUGCUGCACCCCCAAAAGGCAAUGGUGAAGUCUGGGCCACUCCACCUUCUAAAUAGCUCUCUAAAUUGACCAUUUCACAUCAUCUCCCUCUCCAUUCUAAUUCCAACCAGAAAUUUAAGAAGACGCUUAGGUUUUUACAAGCUUAGGGAGGCAGCAACCCUUUUUUGGAUGUGUUAUGUUUGAGAUGUUCCUGAGACAUGCAUGUUGAGAUGUGUCAUAGACAGUGGAUGAAACAGUCUGGAACUCCAAGGAGAAAUCCAGGCUGGAGACAUAACUCCGCAAUUCAUCAGCAUGUGGAUGAUAUUUAAUGCUGAGGAAAUGAAUAGAUCACCUGGGGAGAGACAGAGAACAGGUCCUGAAGUGAACCUUGGGGCACACCACCAUCAGAGAUGAAACAGAGGAGGAGAAGGAAGCACGAUGACUGAGAAGAAGCUGCCAGUGAGGUUGGAGGCCAUCCAAGAGUCUGUCAUGGAAACCAAGAGCGGAACUAGAGGUCAGCAUGAUGAAACCUGUUGAGAAGCAAAGUAAACUGAGGACACGGAAAUGCCUCCACGAGCAGAGAUUGCUGGUAUCCUUGCUAAGAGUGUUGAUGUCUAUCUUCCCUGCUGGGCUGUAAGUCCCAUGAAGCAAGGGAUGUCAUUUGUUUGCUCACAUUGUACUGCCAGUGCUUAGUUCAUCACGCAUUGUUUUCUGGUGUGUCUGGUUAUCUUUGACUGUAUGUUGGCCAUUGUACUCGAAAUUUUAUUUUAAGGAAUAAUUUGAAGCCCAGGAUAAAGGUAUUUUCUUCUACUGAGCAUUUGCAUAUGGCUGUGGGUGUUAUCAUUCUGUGAUUAAAUACAGUUCGAGGCUUGAGGUUCCCUGGCAUACCAAAGUUGUGUGGAUGAGGCUUCCAAUCCAUGAUUCAAGGCUGGGUCAUCUCUGGUUCACCCUUACCCCGAGGGUGAAUCCUUUGGCAUUCUAGUUUAUUUUGGUGAGAAUCUCUCAACUGAUUUCCCACCUUGUUCAGGCCAUGAACUUGGAUUUCAAUUCCGCUUAUGCCGUGAGCUCAUCAAAAAACAAAUUCAGAUUUUCUAGGAUCAGCAAAUGCCCUGAGGACAAAAGCAGUUUCUGUGCUCUCUAACUUCUCUGGGGUUUCUGUUUUUCCUUCAGUUUUGACCUAAUAAUUCCUUACAAAGAGCUUACUUGUCAGCUCUUUAAUGCUUUAAUAAGGUGCUUUUUAUAUUUUAUUCAGCAUUCUUGGCCCUUUUUAGCUGAAGGGUUGACCCCAAAAACCUAACCUCCUGUUGCUAAACACAGAAAUGGCUAAUCCCUAGGACUUCAUCACUGUGCAUGGCACAUCAUUAUGGCUCAAUAAAUAUUUGUUAAUUAAAUGAAUGAAGGAAGCCCAGGUGUCUAAUGUCCCUACUCUUUCCGAUGCAUUGAUCAUCAUACCCACAGGCCAAGAUGCUAAGAGAGAGCUGUGCUCAGAGCUCGGUGAGCUGUGCAGAGAGGCAGGACUGUGAGCUCCGAGCAGGGAAAGACCCCCGUGGAAUGGGGAGAGACAAUGGCGGGGGUAUCAGAUACGUGAGUACAAGGAUGGAACUGCAUCUUGGCAGAUGAGCCACUGGCUUGGGAAAGGACUCAAAGGAAGUGGACAUUGUAAGUAAAGGCCUGAAAUGAAGACUGGAAUGAAUGAGGAAUCCAAGAGCUAGGAGUGGGCAGAGAAGCAGGGACCAGCCAGGGAAAGGGGCCAACGGAGGCCCCAGGGCCCAGUGUGAAUGCAGAAGCCAAGCUGCGCUGGGGCAGUUCCCUGCAGCCACUGGGAGGAGGGAAGAGUGGGGAGAGGAGGCAACAGCUUUUGUUGAAAUGCACACAUGGUAAUUGCUACAGAAGAGCAUUUCCCUUAGUUUAAAACGCUUUCUCCUCUGCAUUUUCCUUGGUCCUAGUUUCAAAGGAAUUUUAAUUGCAAAGAAAAUUUUGUCAUCUCCCUAGGGGGAGAGGGCUCCGCAACUUCCAACAGUCAUGCCUGAUGCUGAUUCUUCUUUAAACUGGGAAUUUUCACGCUUUGGCUGCGUGGAAGCUUUCUGAGGAUUGGGCAGCAGGGAGGGAGGGGUAGGGGUACAACAGGGCUCUCUGCUCCUCUCUGGGAUGGGAAGGCUGGGUUUGCAGCCAGGGGUUCCCUGGCCUAGGUCCUCAACAAGGGUCUUUGGUGCCGACCUGGACACCAUGUACCCAGGUUACAGAUGACGGUUCUAACGCCUUUCCCCUUAAAUCCAGUGGAUUUAUUUAAUUAAUGAUAUUAAUGAAAGAAUUGGACCCUUAGCUUCCAUCCUUGUUCCACUCUAGAUUAUUCUCCACAUGGCAGCCAUUUGGAAAACAGUUUGGUCGUUUCUUUAAAAGUUAAGUAUAAAUUUACUGUACGAUCCAGCGAUUUCAUUCCUAGGUAUCUACACAAGAGAAAUGAAAACAUAUGUCCACAUAAAAGCUCGUAUGAAAAUGUUCACAGCACCAUGAUUCAACAUAGCCAAAAGCAGAAAAAAACCCCAAAGCCUCUCCCUCAGUGAAUGGAUAUGCGAAUGUGGUAUACCCACACAGAGGAGUACUAUUAAGCAAUAAAAAGGAAUGCGCUGCUGAUAUCUGUGAUAACUCGGCUGUACCUCCAAAACAUUAUACUCAAUGAAAGGAGCCAGAUGCGAAACACAAAACAAAAAGCAUAUAUGGUAUGCUUUUGUUUAUAGCAAAUGUCCCGAAAAGGCAACUCCAUAGAGACAGAAAACAGAAGUGGUUGCCUGGGGCUGGCAGUGGGGAUGGAGAUUGACUGCAGAUGGGCACGAAGGCUCUUUCUGGGGUGAAAGGAAUGUUCUGUAACUGAAUGGUGGUUGCACAACUCUGUAAUUUAUGAAAACUCAUUGAACUGUAUGCUUACAAUGGGUGAAGUUUACAGCAUGUAAAUUAUACCUCAGUAAAACUUUUGGGAAAAGUGGCCCCCAUUUCUCUCAGUACAAAA